CAAUAGCGUAUAUUAAAGUUGUUGCAGUUAAAAAGCUCGUAGUUGGAUUCCUGGUGGGAGCGAUCGGUCUGGCGCUUAGCGCGAGUACUUGCAUCGUCUCCGGCCAUCCUUGGGGAGAGUCUGUCUGGCAUUAGGUUGUCGGGCAGAGGAUCCUCAUCGUUUACUGUGAAAAAAUUAGAGUGUUCAAAGCAGGCUUAUGCCGUUGAAUAUAUUAGCAUGGAAUAAUAAGAUAGGACUUUGGUACUAUUUUGUUGGUUUGCGCACCAAAGUAAUGAUUAAUAGGGACAGUUGGGGGUAUUCGUAUUCCGUUGUCAGAGGUGAAAUUCUUGGAUUUACGGAAGACGAACUACUGCGAAAGCAUUUACCAAGGAUGUUUUCAUUAA
rnacentral:rRNA from 1 species